AGAGUUUGAUCAUGGCUCAGGAUGAACGCUAGCGGCAGGCUUAAUACAUGCAAGUCGAGGGGCAGCGGGUGUAGCAAUACAUGCCGGCGACCGGCGCACGGGUGCGUAACGCGUAUGCAACCUACCUUUAACUGGAGGAUAGCCCCGAGAAAUCGGGAUUAAUACUCCAUAACAUUGCGAAUUGACAUCUUUUUGCAAUUAAAGCUCAGGCGGUUAAGGAUGGGCAUGCGUGACAUUAGCUAGUUGGUGAGGUAACGGCUCACCAAGGCUACGAUGUCUAGGGGUUCUGAGAGGAUUAUCCCCCACACUGGUACUGAGACACGGACCAGACUCCUACGGGAGGCAGCAGUAAGGAAUAUUGGGCAAUGGACGCAAGUCUGACCCAGCCAUGCCGCGUGAAGGAUGACGGCCCUAUGGGUUGUAAACUUCUUUUGUACGGGAAAAAACCCCCGAUCGUGAUCGGGGCUGAUGGUACCGUAAGAAUAAGCAUCGGCUAACUCCGUGCCAGCAGCCGCGGUAAUACGGAGGAUGCAAGCGUUAUCCGGAUUCAUUGGGUUUAAAGGGUGCGUAGGCGGGAUGAUAAGUCAGUGGUGAAAUCCUACAGCUUAACUGUAGAACUGCCAUUGAUACUGUCAGCCUUGAGUACAUUUGAAGUGGGCGGAAUGUGUCAUGUAGCGGUGAAAUGCUUAGAUAUGACACAGAACACCGAUAGCGAAGGCAGCUCACUAAACUGUAACUGACGCUGAGGCACGAAAGCGUGGGGAUCAAACAGGAUUAGAUACCCUGGUAGUCCACGCCGUAAACUAUGAUCACUCGAUGUGUGCGAUAUACUGUACGCGUCUAAGCGAAAGCAUUAAGUGAUCCACCUGGGGAGUACGUUCGCAAGGAUGAAACUCAAAUGAAUUGACGG
rnacentral:rRNA from 1 species